CCGAUAMCCUGAUUUAUYGGAWCUGAYWYUMCCCUUCRGGGGACAGAGYGACAGGUGGUGCAUGGUUGUCGUCAGAGGGGGCGUGAGAUGUUGGGUUAAGUCCCGCAACGAGCGCAACCAAAGAUAAUWRRKUGCCAGCAUUCAGUUGGGCACUCUAAGGUGACUGCCGGUGACAAACCGGAGGAAGGUGGGGAUGACGUCWMMUCAUCAUGCCCCUUAUGACCUGGGCUACACACGUGCUACAAUGGAUGGUACAAAGGGCUGCAAAACCGCAAGGUCUAGCCAAUCCCAUAAAACCAUUCUCAGUUCGGAUUGUAGGCUGCAACUCGCCUACAUGAAGCCGGAAUCGCUAGUAAUCGCGGAUYAKYWUGCCGCGGUGAAUACGUUCCCGGGUCUUGUACACACCGA
rnacentral:rRNA from 1 species